rnacentral:misc_RNA from 1 species
CAACCCUCAGGCCCUGCCUGGCGUUGGAGGACUGCGCACUGCAGCCUCCCAAAGCAAGCGGCGGCGGCGCCCCAAAACCGAACGCAGUAGUUACUUCUCGUUCUGGGUGUGGGACGUUGUCCAGACCGGAAAACCCCCUUUUUUUCAAUGG